rnacentral:lncRNA from 1 species
CUCUUUGUUCUCCGUUCCACACGUUCAGAUUCAACACCAGCCACCAUCUCACAGCUUCUUUCCACCACCUCCAACGACGGUUCAGAUUUGGUAACAUCUCAAUCACAAAACUCUGAAUCCUCCUUCAGCAAUAGAGCAAUCCUUGUAAACACCGAAACAAAAACACCAGAAACUCCAAAAUGUAUUACUGAAACAACCACCAUAUCAAACAACGACACCAAGAGCAAUAACAAUAAAAGCAACGCUGUUUUGAAAGUUUUCAUGUAUGAUUUACCUCCCGAGUUUCAUUUCGGGUUAUUAGAUUGGAAAGGCGAUGAAAAGACGAAAAACGUUUGGCCUGAUAUGAAAACCAAGAUACCACAUUACCCUGGUGGUUUGAAUUUACAACACAGUAUUGAAUAUUGGCUUACAUUAGAUAUUCUUGCUUCAGAAUUGCCAGAAAUUUAUCCUGCUAGAAUUGUAACCAGAGUUAGAAACUCGACCGAAGCUGAUGUUAUAUUUGUGCCAUUUUUUUCAUCUUUGACUUAUAACAGACACUCCAAAACAGG